UACGUAGGGGGCAAGCGUUGUCCGGAUUUAUUGGGCGUAAAGAGCGUCUAGGCGGCCAGUUAGGUCCGUUGUGAAAACUCGAGGCUCAACCUCGAGACGCCGAUGGAAACCAACUGGCUAGAGUCCGGAAGAGGAGAGUGGAAUUCCCGGUGUAGCGGUGAAAUGCGCAGAUAUCGGGAAGAACACCCGUGGCUAAGGCGGCUCUCUAGUACGGUACUGACGCUGAGACGCGAAAGCGUGGGGAGCGAACAGG
rnacentral:rRNA from 1 species